CACAUAAAAUGGUGGAAAAACGUUUUUGGACACCCAGUGCAUUUGUGAUAUAUCACAUUAAGAAUCACUCUCAUGUCAUUGAACUCUGCCAAGUAUAGUUCCAUUCUCAAGGCCCACACACUCCCUUGUACAUGUACACUGUUCUGUCGAGGUCAGAACUGGAUGUUUCAGCAAAAUAAUGAAACACAUCCAGGGUAUGACAUGUUGAAACUGUCAAGAAUUUAGUUUUGCUGUUUUUUCUUGUUAAACUAAAAA